rnacentral:lncRNA from 1 species
AAAAUCAUUGCAAGUACACUCUCCCUAAAAAUAAUUCCUCUCUUUAUGUGAUAACAUCCAGCCUGGCAAUUUAGCACCCUUGCCACCCACAGCUCUCUGGAAGAUAUAGCUGCACAAGAUAAUGUGAGGAUGAAUGAGCAGAGGAAGGCAGGCAAAAUGGAGGAAAGGCUGAAGCUGGCUCAGAAGCAGAGACAGAGACACAGGGAAGAACCACCCUGUUCUUGAGGGCUCCCCAGUUCUCUGACCAAUUUGAAUGAAGCCCAGCAACACUUUUCUGUCCUCGGAUCCUAUGAGAUAUCUGUAGAUGCUCAGUCACCAGAACCCUCCCUCAGAGAAUAUGACCCUAAGCCAGUUGUGGAACAAAUCACCUUGUGUGUUUCCCCUCCCAUGCCAAGAAGUCCCUGUAGGGGAACCUAAUUGACAUUGAACUUUAGAGGCAGCCAAGAGAAGGACAAGUACUUCACAAUAAAAUGGCAACACUCUGAGAGGAAUUUAUGGUCUGGUGGAGAAUCUGGCAGAUCAACAGACAAUUGCCAUCCUGGAAUGAACCCAGGGAAGAAGAAACUGAGACAUGGGAUAGUUAAGUAGUUUGCUGAAGAUCACAUGGCCAGAUAGUGAUGGAGUCAAGAUUUGAACCUGGGCGUGUGACUCUAGGACUGGGCAUUGGGCCCCUCUCCUACACUGCCUCCGAUCAUGAAUUAUAAAAUGGAAAUAAACGUAUUGUGUCCUUCCCGGUGUGUUGUGAUGUUCCAGUGGGAUAAUCGCUUGACAGCAAUGGGCACAGUGGCUGCAUGCAAAACAGUGUGAGCUACUGUAGGUGUGAUUUAUCAUGGCCUCUCUCUGGCCUUGCUACCCUUUCUGUUUCUCCUCAGCCUCCUUUAGAUGAUUCUCUGAACUUCACAAGACUUUCAGCUUCUUAGGUUAAGGACAUGAUGUCUAUUUGGCAUGUGUGGA